UACGUAGGGUGCGAGCGUUAAUCGGAAUUACUGGGCGUAAAGCGUGCGCAGGCGGUUUUGUAAGCCAGAUGUGAAAUCCCCGGGCUUAACCUGGGAAUGGCAUUUGGGACUGCAAGGCUUGAGUGCGGCAGAGGAGACUGGAAUUCCCGGUGUAGCAGUGAAAUGCGCAGAUAUCAGGAGGAACACCGGUGGCGAAGGCGGGUCUCUGGGCCGAUACUGACGCUGAGGAGCGAAAGCGUGGGGAGCGAACAGG
rnacentral:rRNA from 1 species